rnacentral:rRNA from 1 species
GAUUCAUGGCUCAGGAUGAACGCUAGCUACAGGCUUAACACAUGCAAGUCGAGGGGAAACGACAUCGAAAGCUUGCUUUUGAUGGGCGUCGACCGGCGCACGGGUGAGUAACGCGUAUCCAACCUGCCCAUCACUUGGGAAUAACCUUGCGAAAGUAAGACUAAUGCCCAAUGAUAUCCCACGAAGGCAUCCGAAUGGGAUUAAGGAUUUAUCGGUGAUGGAUGGGGAUGCGU